rnacentral:lncRNA from 1 species
GCCGCCUGAGGGACCCGGGAACAGAGGGCAAAAAGUCCUGUGACCGGACAGAGCAGAGCGGGGACUGCAAUUCCCAGAAGACCCCACGGUAGGGGCGGGACCCAAGAUGGCCGCUUGUCUGGGGACAGGAGCGGAGGCCAAUACGCGCAGAGCAUGCGCCUACGCCGGGCCAAUUGAAAGCCAUAGUGACAGUAACCCUGAUUCAGGGGCGGGAAACACUGACCACAGAAGACAAGUUGAGCUGUAUAUUCUUUGAGAUACUUGAGAUCUUUCUGGUUCAUGCCCUCAUCUGGAAAAUGGAAAUAAUAACAUCUCUGCAUGGAGAUGACAAAGUGUGGGUACAAUGCCUACCACACUGUAGCUACUCAAGAAAUGGAAGUCACAAUCAUUCUCAUGCCACCAGCCUACUGAGCAGAUCAAUGUUCUGGUGAUGUUCUGCAUCCAGACCAUCUUUCAAGAACUGAAUGGUUACUACCCUGGGUCUUCUACCGAAAGAAAGAACAUGGGUGUGGGCAUUCAAGUAUAGCCUCUAAAAAAAGAACACAUAAGUGGUUGCUGGGUGCUGUUAUAUAAUCACACACAUACAAGGCUUAAAUCAUGAAUAUUUCCUUUUUGAAGGGGAAAAAAAGCAAAAAUCCAAUUGUGUAGAGUUUUAGGACAAGAAUAUUAUAUGAAGAAAAUAUAGCUCCAAGAGAUAGUGGCUGAAAGGGCAGAAUUAGAGAAGCAGAAGAAGCAAGAAGUUACCGCAAAGGCUUCCAAAAAUAAAAUAGGAUGAUACGCCCAAGAAAACAAAGGCUACUUUUGCUAAGUCAGGGGUGAGAGAAAAUAAUGAAAGAUGCAAAGAAGAAUGACUAUGGAGCUACUAUUUUGUCUCAGCCUUUAGCACAAAGAACGAAGGAAGCAGGAGCUCAGUAAGAUAAAUAUUAAUGAGUCUCUGGGAAUAUCAAGAAACAGAAUUAAUAAGAGGCAGGUAAAAGAAUACUUAUACAAUUUAAAUAUUUAUAAAUCAGUACAGCUGGGUGAGAUUCAUUUGAACAAAUUCAAAGAACCAGCUAAGGCAGGACAUACCUGCAAUACUAGUGUUUGUCAUAGAGAGUUAUGUACCAGGGAAAUUUAAGCAGGCUGAUUUAGUGUUGGAGCUAAAGCAGCCAAAAGCAGAUACAGGAAAAGGUGGGCUAGUUAGCGCAUCCAAACUACCAGUCAAAACUCUAAAUGAAAUCAUAAAUCAGUCCAUGAGCAUCUUCAGAAAAAUAACAUAGUAAGUCAUAGCCAAAGAGGUUCAUAAAAAACAGAGCCUGUCAAAGCAACUUAAUCCAUUUUUUGGAAAUGCUAAGAAAUUUGGAUUAUAGACAUAGUUUACAGAGGCCCUGCAGAUGCCACCAGACAACUCAAUUUGAACCCAUCUUGGUGAUGGAAUGGCUGUUACUCUCACUGUUUCCAACAGAGAAGGGCAAUUUCACCUGCACAUUUAAUACACAGGGAUAGGGUUCUCUGUUCAUUCCCCAUCAUAGCCCAGGACAGAGUUAAUUUAGUUCUUAGCUAAAUAGAGUCAGUGCCCAGAAGUAUCCAAAUGAGAAUGAAAUAUAUUGAUAAUUCUGUUAUCCAAAUGAGAGUGAAAGAUAAUGAUAAUUCUGGAGCAAACUGGACUAACAUCUUUCAGAAAAAACAAUAUAUAUAUGUGUAUGUGUAUGUCUGCAAUUAUCAGGAUAAUUCAAGGAAAACAAAUACUAUUGCUCGAAUUGAUCAUAUAAUUAUGGAAAAUAUAAGAAGAUGUGAAAACAAAGGCCCUCUUAUAAAAUACAAAGACCUGACCGGGUCACCAGGCUCUGCUGAAACUGUUCAAUGACUUCCCAGGGUUCUUAGGCCAGAACCCUCAGCCUCCUCUCAAGGCCUGCCUAGUCUGUCUGUGCUCUUCUCUGCAGCAUCACUGGCACCACACCCCUCCUUGCCCUGGGCAAGCCAGCUCCUCUGCCCUUCUUUCAGCUCUUGCAAGACUUCCUCUUGUUUUUGCCACUGAGCCUUUGCACAUGCUGCCCUUGCUUUUACUUACCCUAGCUACUUAUUCUAUAGUUUUCUACUCAAAUCCCACUUUGGGAGGUAAACCUUCUUUUACCUCCCAGAACAUAAUAUUUUCAUAGUAUUUGGCUCUAAUAAAACCAAUUUUCUUCCCAGAAGCACUUAUUUUAGAAUGUAAUUUUAUACUCAUUUAAAAAAAAGUUAGUGUAGUCCUCCUCCACUAGAUUACAAGCUCCACCAGAAAAGGGACUGAGUAUGAGUACUUCACAAUUGUAUCUCCAGGAUGUAGCACAGUCCCUAGGUACAGUAAAUAUUUGUAAUCAGAUAAAAAAAAAACUAGGAGUAUAUAUAUAUAUAUACACACAUACACAGUUGGGCUCCCUUCAUAAAAGGUUAGAUGGAAAGGACAUCUUUCUAUCCAGAAUAAUAUUUUCUUCAGUUUUCCUUUCAACUACAAUCAUAGGAAAAAAAAAUUUAAUGAGGGUCCUGUUGACAGAGGUGUAAAAACAUGAGGCAGCUAAAACUUGAAUUGUUGAAUUCUACAUUUGCACAUUACAUUUACCUGUGAUGUGUUCCAAAAUUUCAUUUCAUGGUGAUAAUGAAUCUGUGGGAAAUUAGCAUUCUAUCACUCUUCAUAUGGGAGUGUUAGUGAAGGUUUUCCAAGCCGUGUAUCCUGCAUAAAAUGAAACAUUUUUCAGGUAACCAAGUUUGUAGCACACUCUUUCUAUCUCAACAGUGUUCAUCUUUACACCUCAGAAGGACCUAAGCCUAGAAUUAGAGAAAGCCAUGAAGUUAGAGAAUAUUAUCUUAUUCUAAGGUCAAUCACUGACAGGGAAUUUUCUCCCAUGAUGCUUGGAUGUUUAUAUUUUUAAUAGGAAUUUGUAAGUUAAUAAGUAACCAGCCCCCCUGCAAGCAAGGUUUUGACAUAUCCAAGGUCACACCAAAAUUUGUGACCCACCUAGGACCAAAACUCAGACUUCUAGUUUCAGUCCACUGAUCUUUUGUUAGUUCAUUCAUUCAACAAAUAAAACCUGAAUGGCCCCCAUGAAUCUGGCACUGUGUUGGUCACUGGGGAAACAAAGAUGGAGACACUGCCCUUGUCCUUGUGGAAUUUAUUAGUUGAUGAAGGAGACCAAGGAAGAAUGAAUAAAUACAAUACAACUGUGGCGAAUGCUAUUUGAGGCCACCACUCUUGGUGCCCAACGCUGCAUUUCCUCUGCUUGCCUCUGAUUUCAGCUGCAGCUGUGGUGGACAGCUCCUGUGCCUGCUGACAGCUUCCCUCCUGCCCAGAGAUUGCCCUUGGGGGAGUUUGCUCAGACUCUGGCCAAGCAGCACAAAAGAGUGGUGUGACCAUCCCUGAGAGCAACCUUCAAUCAGAAGGGGACGUGAGUAGGUAGAUAAAUAUUCCAUCCUUCCAUCAUUCAGAAGAACCAUUCAAGAGGCAUUCUACAUGGUUCCUGAGAGGAUCCCCUCACGAUUGAGCCCCAGUGUCCACAAAAAGAACCAGCUCACUAAUGUAACUUUAGAGGCUUUUUCUCCUUCCCAGUCUCUCUCUUCUCCACUUCCUCACUCCUGCUUCCUAAAAUCACCUCUGCCCAAAGAAACUUCCUACUCCUAAACCCUGUGUCAGGUUCUGCUUGUAGAGGAAGUCACACCAAUACACAAUAUCAGUAAAUGAAUUAAUGCAGAGAAGGCACUGGAGCCACAGUUGCAAACUGGAGUCUCUUUUGUUGGCUAUCUACAGGGUCAUUGUGUAUAGUGCAAUGGUUGUUUU